UGGGGGAUAUUGCGCAAUGGGGGCAACCCUGACGCAGCAACGCCGCGUGAAGGAUGAAGGUUUUCGGAUUGUAAACUUCUUUUAUUAAGGACGAAAAUUGACGGUACUUAAUGAAUAAGCUCCGGCUAACUACGUGCCGGCAGCCGCGGUAAUACGUAGGGAGCAAGCGUUGUCCGGAUUUACUGGGUGUAAAGGGUGCGUAGGCGGCUUUGCAAGUCAGAUGUGAAAUCUAUGGGCUCAACCCAUAAACUGCAUUUGAAACUGUAGAGCUUGAGUGAAGUAGAGGCAGGCGGAAUUCCCCGUGUAGCGGUGAAAUGCGUAGAGAUGGGGAGGAACACCAGUGGCGAAGGCGGCCUGCUGGGCUUUAACUGACGCUGAGGCACGAAAGCGUGGGUAGCAAACAGGAUUAGAUACCCUGGUAGUCCACGCUGUAAACGAUGAUUACUAGGUGUGGGGGGUCUGACCCCUUCCGUGCCGGAGUUAACACAGUAAGUAAUCCACCUGGGGAGUACGGCCGCAAGGUUGAAACUCAAAGGAAUUGACGGGGGCCCGCACAAGCAGUGGAGUAUGUGGUUUAAUUCGAAGCAACGCGAAGAACCUUACCAGGUCUUGACAUCCAACUAACGAAGUAGAGAUACAUUAGGUGCCCUUCGGGGAAAGUUGAGACAGGUGGUGCAUGGUUGUCGUCAGCUCGUGUCGUGAGAUGUUGGGUUAAGUCCCGCAACGAGCGCAACCCUUGCUAUUAGUUGCUACGCAAGAGCACUCUAAUAGGACUGCCGUUGACAAAACGGAGGAAGGUGGGGACGACGUCAAAUCAUCAUGCCCCUUAUGACCUGGGCUACACACGUACUACAAUGGAUGUUAACAGAGGGAAGCAAGACAGUGAUGUGGAGCAAACCCCUAAAAACAUUCUCAGUUCAGAUUGCAGGCUGCAACCCGCCUGCAUGAAGAUGGAAUUGCUAGUAAUCGCGGAUCAGAAUGCCGCGGUGAAUACGUUCCC
rnacentral:rRNA from 1 species